rnacentral:rRNA from 1 species
CACGUAGGGCGCAAGCGUUGUCCGGAAUUAUUGGGCGUAAAGAGCUCGUAGGCGGACUGUCACGUCUGCUGUGAAAAGCUGGGGCUUAACCCUGGCCUUGCAGUGGAUACGGGCAGACUAGAGGGUAGGUAGGGGAGAAUGGAAUUCCCGGUGUAGCGGUGAAAUGCGCAGAUAUCGGGAGGAACACCCGGUGGCGAAGGCGGUUCUCUGG